CACUACACACAUGUGCUGCGGAUGGUUAGUGUGAACGGUAACAUUGCCCCUCUGUGAAACAAUACGAAAUGUUUCAAUUAUGUGCUGAAGAGGAUAAAGACAGUUACUGUAACAAAUUAGGUAAACCAUCAUGAUCCCCAUCACAGAGCUCCGGUACUUUGCCGACACACAGCCGGCGUACCGCAUCCUGAAGCCAUGGUGGGACGUCUUCACAGACUACAUCUCCAUCGUCAUGCUCAUGAUCGCCGUGUUUGGGGGCACGCUACAGGUAACCCAGGACAAGAUGAUCUGCCUGCCCUGCAAGUGGGUGGUCAACAAAUCCUGCGAGUACCUCAAUAUGAGCUUCCGUGACCCCUUUGACCCAGAGCCAAAAGGCAUCCAGUAUGAACUGGACCGGCACCAGUACAACUACAUUGACGCGGUCUGCUAUGAGAACAAGCUGCAUUGGUUUGCCAAGUACUUCCCCUACCUGGUGCUACUGCACACCCUCAUCUUCCUGGCCUGCAGUAACUUCUGGUUCAAGUUCCCCCGGACUAGCUCCAAACUGGAGCACUUUGUGUCCAUCCUGCUCAAGUGUUUUGACUCGCCAUGGACCACCAGGGCUCUGUCUGAGACUGUAGUGGAGGAAAGCGACCCCAAGCCUCUGGGGAAGAUGAACGGUACCAUGGACAAGAAGGCAUCAUGCAUCAGCGAGGAUGUGGAGGCCAGCGUGCCCAUGCUCCAAAGGACCAAGUCCCUCAUCGAGCAGGGCAUUGUUGACCGCUCCGACACGGGUGUCCUGGACAAGAAGGAAGGCGAGCAGGCCAAAGCUCUUUUCGAGAAGGUCAAGAAGUUCCGGAUCCACGUCGAAGAAGGGGACAUUGUCUACCGGCUCUACAUCCGCCAGACCAUCAUCAAAGUCAUCAAGUUCAUCCUGAUCAUCUGCUACACGGCCUACUAUGUGCACUACAUCAAGUUCAGUGUGAUCUGCACGGUGGACAUUGAGAAGCUGACGGGCUAUAGGAUGUACCACUGUGCUCACCCCCUGGCCACACUCUUCAAGAUUCUGGCAUGUUUCUAUAUCAGCUUGGUGGGGAUUUACGGUCUCAUCUGCAUGUACACCCUCUGCUGGAUGCUCAGCCGCUCGCUUAAGCGCUACUCCUUUGAGUCAAUCCGCGAGGAGAGCAGGUACAGUGACAUACCUGACGUGAAAAACGACUUUGCCUUCAUGUUGCACAUGAUAGACCAGUAUGACCCGCUCUACUCCAAACGCUUUGCGGUCUUCCUGUCAGAGGUUAGCGAGAACAAACUGCGUCAGCUGAACCUCAACAAUGAGUGGACGCUGGACAAGCUGCGGCAACGUAUCACCAAGAACUCCCAGGAGAAACUGGAGCUGCACUUGUUCAUGCUUAACGGAAUCCCUGAAACAGUGUUUGACCUAAUAGAACUGGAGGUGCUCAAGCUGGAGCUCAUCCCUGAUGUCACCAUCCCCCCCAUCAUUGCCCAGCUAGUCAGCCUGAGAGAGAUGUGGCUCUACCACACACCGGCAAAAAUUGAGGCUCCAGCUUUGGCCUUUCUGAGGGAGAACCUCAAGUCCCUCCACAUCAAAUUCACUGACAUCAAGGAGAUUCCUCUAUGGAUCUACAGCCUGAAGAACCUGAGCGAGCUGCACCUCACAGGGAACCUGAGCGCAGAGAACAACCGCUACAUUGUCAUCGACGGGCUACGAGAGCUCAAGAGGCUCAAAGUGCUUCGUCUGAAGAGUAACCUGACCAAGCUUCCUCAGGUGGUGACAGACGUUGGGGUCCACCUCCAGAAGCUGUCAAUCAACAAUGAGGGCACCAAGCUGAUGGUGCUCAACAGCCUGAAGAAGAUGGUGAACCUGACAGAGCUGGAGCUGUUGCGCUGCGACCUGGAACGUAUCCCGCACUCCAUCUUCAGCCUGCACAACCUGCAGGAGAUUGACCUGAAGGACAACAACCUUAAGACCAUCGAGGAGAUCAUCAGCUUCCAGCACCUGCACCGUCUGGUAAACUUGAAGCUGUGGUACAACCAGAUCGCCUAUAUCCCCAUCCAGAUCGGCACCUUGACGAACAUGGAGAGGCUCUACCUAAACCGCAACAAGAUCGAGAACAUCCCGGGCCAGCUGUUCUACUGCCGCAAACUGCGCUUCCUGGACCUGAGUCACAACAACCUGACCAGUAUACAUGCCGACGUGGGCUUCCUCCAGAACCUGCAGUACUUUGCUGUGACAGCCAACAGGGUGGCGCCCAUGUCGGUGUACGCCUGCCUGGGUGGUGAUGUGGCGGCCAUCCGGGACACCUUCCUGAUGCGGCUGCAGAGCAAGACGGAGGAUCAAGGUCAUGAUCCUGGAGUUUCUCACCGUGGCCGUGGAGACCCAGCCGGGCCUCAUUGAGCUCUUCCUCAACCCAGAGGUCAAGGACAGCCCAGAGGGGUCUAAGUUGAGGAGCUAGACUGGGCAGUCUGAGAAUAGAACUGAAAUAUGUUGGGACUCAAUUUUGUUUACUUGUUAACAGACUUUGUGUAUUGAUGUUUGCCACAUAUAACGGAACAAAAAUGUAAACAACAUGCAACAGUUACAAAGAUUUUACUGAGUUACAGUUCAUAUGAGGAAAUCAGUCAAUGUAAGUUCAUAAGGCCCUAAUCUAUGGAUUUCACAUGAUUAGUGUAACAUCUGAAGAGUGAUGGGUGUGGAGUCAGGCGCAGAGAGCAGAUGAUACCAGGGAAAAACGCUUUAAUGUCCAAAACAAACAGGAAAACGUACAAAUGGGUGAAGCCAAAACACAGGCGCAAACACAACCCAAGGACCACUGGUAAUAACCUGGACAGCGAAAACCCAAACAAUACACCUCUUACAUACAUAGCAACAAGCCCGCACAAACACAAGCGGGAUAAACAAACUUAAAUAAUACCAACCCCAACAAGAAACAGGUGAAAACAAUUAGACAAAACCAAACGAAAAGGGAUCGGUGGCAUCUAGUAGGCCGGCGAUGACGACAGCCGAGCGCCACCCGAACAGGACUGGUGAUAUUCGUGACAACUAGGGAAUAUAGAUAUGCAUAUGUUAGUCAAAGAUACCUUUCUGUGCAUUCAAAUUGCCAUCGAUAAAAUGCAAUUGUGUUCGUUGUCCAUAGCUUAUGCCUGCCUAUACGAUAACCCCACCUUCACUAUGUGGCACUCUUUUCACAACGUUGACAACAGCAAACCGCUUGCCUCCAAACCGCUUGUGGUCUGUGGUUGUGAGGCCGGUUGGACGUACUGCCCAAUUCCCUAAAACAAUGUUGGAGACGGCUUAUGGUAGAGAUAUUUACAUUAAAUUCUCUGGCAACAGCUAUGUUGGGCAUUCCUGCAUUCAGCAUGCUAAUUGCACGCUCCCUCAAAAUUUCAGACAUCUGUGGCAUUGUGUGACAAAACCACAUUUUAGAGUGGCAGUUGAAUGAGGACUCUGCCAGACUGAAGCUCUUCAUGGAUGUGCUGAAUGGGACCAAAGCUGUUUUGCUGGUGCCCAGAUCGGUGCACUGUCUACGUCUGGGAUCCAUGAUGACUACCCUGCUGCUGAUCCUCCUCAAACAGUGGAGAAGGUGGUGAGAUCUGCCAACUUCCCCAGCUACUGCUGUGUGUGUGUGUGAGACUGUGCAGGAUGAGGCACCGGCACUGAUUGACAGCACGCAUCACACGGCCCAGGCAGGGGAUGUCCCCGAGGACAAGGACCGCACGGAGACUGCUGCCCCCAGUAGCGUCCGGAAGGACAAGAGGGACGGGGGGCGGCAGCAGUAGCCAGGGCCAGCGUCAUCCAGAGCAUCUGUCUCCCUCUGCUCAGUGCCUAUGCAGCACCCUCCAAUGGAGCCUCACAGGCCGGUGGUUCCUGGUCCUCUGGCUGAUGCUGUCCCCCACGACACCCCUCCGCCCUCCUGGACAUCGAGGGAGCUCUCGCCUAUGCCGUUAGAUCCCUACUAGACUCCAGAUGUCGUGGGGGUUGGUGGACUGGGAGGGGUACGGCCCAGAGGCAAAGUGUUUGGUUCCGGUGGAGGACAUUCUGCAUCCCAAUAUCAUCUGUAAUAUACAUCUUCGCCUUCCGGACCAGCCUGCUCUUCGUCCUCGGGGCUGUCCUGCGGCAGGACCCGCGCGUACUGUCACGUCUAUCCCCACUCCUCCCUUCUGGCAUUCGACAUCACCAGUUUACUAACCACCGGUCUUUAUGCACACUUGGCUUUCAUCAUUACGCGCACCUGCGCUUCAUCAGUAAGCUCACCUGUUCUCCAUUACCUCAAUCAUUACCUCCCUUUUAUCUGGCACUCCCUUAGGUUCCUUCUCCAGGCAGUAUUGUUUCUGUUGUUCAUGUCUAGACGCCUACUCCUAUAUUGUAUCGUUCCAUGUUACUUGUUAUAUUAAACUUUACCACCUGCACCUGC